AGAGUUUGAUCCUGGCUCAGAUUGAACGCUGGCGGUAUGCUUAACACAUGCAAGUCGAACGGCAGCACGAGAGAGCUUGCUCUCUUGGUGGCGAGUGGCGGACGGGUGAGUAACGCGUAGGAAUCUGCCUAGUAGUGGGGGACAACUCGGAGAAAUCCGAGCUAAUACCGCAUACGCCCUACGGGGGAAAGCAGGGGAUCUUCGGACCUUGCGCUAUUAGAUGAGCCUGCGUUGGAUUAGCUUGUUGGUGAGGUAAUGGCUCACCAAGGCGACGAUCCAUAGCUGGUCUGAGAGGACGAUCAGCCACACUGGGACUGAGACACGGCCCAGACUCCUACGGGAGGCAGCAGUGGGGAAUAUUGGACAAUGGGCGCAAGCCUGAUCCAGCAAUACCGCGUGUGUGAAGAAGGCCUGCGGGUUGUAAAGCACUUUCAAUUGUGAAGAAAAGCUUGAGGUCAAUACCCUCGAGUCUUGACGUUAACUUUAGAAGAAGCACCGGCUAACCCUGUGCCAGCAGCCGCGGUAAUACAGGGGGUGCAAGCGUUAAUCGGAAUUACUGGGCGUAAAGCGCGCGUAGGCGGAUUGUUAAGUCAGAUGUGAAAGCCCUGGGCUCAACCUGGGAACUGCAUUUGAAACUGGCAAACUAGAGUAUGGUAGAGGAAAGUGGAAUUUCGGGUGUAGCGGUGAAAUGCGUAGAUAUCCGAAGGAACAUCAGUGGCGAAGGCGACUUUCUGGACCAAUACUGACGCUGAGGUGCGAAAGCGUGGGUAGCAAACAGGAUUAGAUACCCUAGUAGUCC
rnacentral:rRNA from 1 species